AUGUUGAAAGAGCCCACCAAUGAAAGGGAUUCCCACAAGAAAAAACUGGAAGAAGAUAUAGCCAAUACUAAAGAGGAUGUAGUUGACGUUGUUGAUAAGGCCUUUAAGAAAGUCAAGGCACAAGUAGCUCACCUCUACCCAUACCUAAAAUUGAGCGAGUUCGACUUGUACGAAAUUGUGAAAGUCAAUCUUAACACAUAUAUAUAUAUACACAAAUAUUUCUCGAGACACAUUUAA